rnacentral:sRNA from 1 species
GGCGAGGACCCAGUCCUGUCUCAGCCAGUGACAGUGAAUCUGGAGGGGAAUCCAGAGAAGCCCCAGUACCUUUUCGCCAUGAUGUCUUACUGGGCCACCCACCUCCUCUUUCAUGAUCCUCGCCACGGAGGAUCCUUUCCUCACGGUCCCUGGCCUGCCUGAGAGCA